rnacentral:rRNA from 1 species
AUUGAACGCUGGCGGCAGGCCUAACACAUGCAAGUCGAGCGGUAGCACAGAGAGCUUGCUCUCGGGUGACGAGCGGCGGACGGGUGAGUAAUGUCUGGGAAACUGCCUGAUGGAGGGGGAUAACUACUGGAAACGGUAGCUAAUACCGCAUAACGUCGCAAGACCAAAGUGGGGGACCUUCGGGCCUCAUGCCAUCAGAUGUGCCCAGAUGGGAUUAGCUAGUAGGUGGGGUAACGGCUCACCUAGGCGACGAUCCCUAGCUGGUCUGCGAGGAUGACCAGCCACACUGGAACUGAGACACGGUCCAGACUCCUACGGGAGGCAGCAGUGGGGAAUAUUGCACAAUGGGCGCAAGCCUGAUGCAGCCAUGCCGCGUGUGUGAAGAAGGCCUUCGGGUUGUAAAGUACUUUCAGCGGGGAGGAAGGCGGUGAAGUUAAUAGCUUCACCGAUUGACGUUACCCGCAGAAGAAGCACCGGCUAACUCCGUGUCAGCAGCCGCCGUAA